AUUGAACGCUGGCGGCAGGCCUAACACAUGCAAGUCGAGCGAGCGGCGGACGGGUGAGUAAUGUCUGGGAAACUGCCCCAUGGAGGGGGAUAACUACUGGAAACGGUCGCUAAUACCUCAUACCAUCAGAUGUGGCCAGAUGGGAUUAGCUAGUAGGUGGGGUAACGGAUCACCUAGGCGCCGACCCCUAGCUGGUCUGAGAGGAUGACCCGCCAAACUGGAAAUGGGACACGGUCCAGACUCCUACGGGAGGCAGCAUUGGGGAAUAUUGCACAAUGGGCGCAAGCCUGAUGCAGCCAUGCCGCGUGUAUGAAGAAGGCCUUCGGGUUGUAAAGGACUUUCAGCGGGGAGGCGGUACCCGCAGAAGAAGCACCGGCUAACUCCGUGCCAGCAGCCGCGGUAAUUC
rnacentral:rRNA from 1 species